GACGAACGCUGGCGGCGUGCUUAACACAUGCAAGUCGAGCGGUAAGGCCCUUUCGGGGGUACACGAGCGGCGAACGGGUGAGUAACACGUGGGUGACCUGCCCUCAGUUCUGGGAUAAGCCUGGGAAACCGGGUCUAAUACUGGAUAUGACCUCAUGACGCAUGUUGUGGGGUGAAAGCCCUUGUGCGACUGAGGAUGGGCCCGCGGCCUAUCAGCUUGUUGGUGGGGUGAUGGCCUACCAAGGCGACGACGGGUAGCCGGCCUGAGAGGGCGA
rnacentral:rRNA from 1 species